AAUGCUUUUCGCGCGUUGCCCGAAACAUUGAAUAAAGGAUUGUCUGUUCUUAUCAGCUUAAUGUGUGGUACGGGUCCUUUGGACCCAAGAUAUUAAACUUAUUAUUGGAAUGGGGCGGAGUGCUCUAAGCUUGCUUCACCUCCGCCACGGUUCGGCUCGAUAGUGCACUAUCUCCGGGAUCAUCCCAUUCAGC